ACCCAUUGCGAGCAAAGUUGGCCCAGAAUUUCAUCACCAUCUUGCUGAGUUUGAUCUCCUCUUCUGAGGCACCCUCUUUUAAAAAUGGGGGU